UACAGAGGUCCCGAGCGUUGUUCGGAUUCAUUGGGCGUAAAGGGUGCGUAGGCGGCGGGGCAAGUCUGAUGUGAAAUCCUGGGGCUCAACCCUGGAACUGCAUUGGAUACUUCCUUGCUAGAGUACUGGAGAGGAAACUGGAAUUUACGGUGUAGCAGUGAAAUGCGUAGAGAUCGUAAGGAAGACCAGUGGCGAAGGCGAGUUUCUGGACAGUUACUGACGCUGAGGCACGAAGGCCAGGGGAGCAAACGGG
rnacentral:rRNA from 1 species